rnacentral:rRNA from 1 species
GACGAACCGAGCGAACGUUGUUCGGAAUCACUGGGCGUAAAGGGUGCGUAGGCGGGUCUUUAAGUCAGGGGUGAAAUCCUGGAGCUCAACUCCAGAACUGCCUUUGAUACUGAAGAUCUUGAGUUCGGGAGAGGUGAGUGGAACUGCGAGUGUAGAGGUGAAAUUCGUAGAUAUUCGCAAGAACACCAGUGGCGAAGGCGGCUCACUGGCCCGAUACUGACGCUGAGGCACGAAAGCGUGGGGAGCAAACAGG